rnacentral:rRNA from 1 species
AUUGAACGCUGGCGGCAUGCCUUACACAUGCAAGUCGAACGGUAACAGGUCUUCGGAUGCUGACGAGUGGCGAACGGGCGAGUAAUACAUCGGAACGUGCCUAGUAGUGGGGGAUAACUACUCGAAAGAGUGGCUAAUACCGCAUGAGAUCUACGGAUGAAAGCAGGGGAUCGCAAGACCUUGUGCUACUAGAGCGGCCGAUGGCAGAUUAGGUAGUUGGUGGGAUAAAAGCUUACCAAGCCGACGAUCUGUAGCUGGUCUGAGAGGACGAUCAGCCACACUGGGACUGAGACACGGCCCAGACUCCUACGGGAGGCAGCAGUGGGGAAUUUUGGACAAUGGGCGCAAGCCUGAUCCAGCAAUGCCGCGUGCAGGAUGAAGGCCUUCGGGUUGUAAACUGCUUUUGUACGGAACGAAAAGCCCUGGGUUAAUACCCUGGGGCCAUGACGGUACCGUAAGAAUAAGCACCGGCUAACUACGUGCCAGCCGCCGCAGUAAGAC